AUUGAACGCUGGCGGCAGGCCUAACACAUGCAAGUCGAACGAGUGGCGGACGGGUGAGUAAUGUCUGGGAAACUGCCUGAUGGAGGGGGAUAACUACUGGAAACGGUAGCUAAUACCGCAUACCAUCAGAUGUUCCCAGAUGGGAUUAGCUUGUUGGUGGGGUAACGGCUCACCAAGGCGAAGAUCCCUAGCUGGUCUGAGAGGAUGACCGGCCACACUGGAACUGAGACACGGUCCAGACUCCUACGUGAGGCAGCAGUGGGGAAUAUUGCGCAAUGGGCGAAAGCCUGACGCAGCCAUGCCGCGUGUAUGAAGAAGGCCUUCGGGUCGUAAAGCUCUGUCAGUGGGGAGGCGUUACCCGCAGAGGAAGCAACGGCUAACGCCGUGCCAGCAGCCGCGGUAAUUC
rnacentral:rRNA from 1 species